rnacentral:rRNA from 1 species
GAUGAACGCUGGCAGUAUGCUUAACACAUGCAAGUCGUACGGAAAUUUUUAGCAAUAAAAAUUUGAGUGGCGGACGGGUGAGUAACGCGUAAGAAUCUUCCUUAAGGAGAGGGAUAACUAUUGGAAACGAUGGGUAAUCCCUCAUAUGGAGUCAUCUGAAAAAGAGUGAAGCUUGCUUCAAGUCUGCCUUAAGAUGAGCUUGCGUCUGAUUAGCUAGUUGGUGAGGUAAUGGCUUACCCAAGGCGACGAUCAGUAGCUGAUUUGAGAGAAUGAUCAGCCACACUGGGACUGAGACACGGCCCAGACUCCUACGGGAGGCAGCAGUGAGGAAUUUUUCGCAAUGGGCGCAAGCCUGACGGAGCAAUACUGCGUGGAGGAUGAAGGCCCGUGGGCUGUAAACUCCUUUUCCCAAAAAAGAAGUUCUGACGGUAUUUGGGGAAUAAGCAUCAGCUAACUGCGUGCCAGCAGCUGCGGUAAUACGUGGGAUGCAAGCGUUAUCCGGAUUUAUUGGGCGUAAAGCGUCUGUAGGUGGCUUUGCAAGUUUGUUGUUAAAGAAUUCAGCUCAACUGGGUUUCAGCAUCAAAAACUACUAAGCUUGAGUCAAGUAGAGGAAAAGGGAAUUCCCUGUGGAGCGGUGAAAUGCGUAGAGAUAGGGAAGAACACCAAAGGCGAAGGCACUUUUCUGGGCAUUGACUGACACUGAGAGACGAAAGCUAGGGGAGCGAGUAGGAUUAGAUACCCUAUUAGUCCUAGCCGUAAACGAUGGAAACUACAUUUUGAUGAAAUCUUUUUGCGUAAGUAAGAAGACAGGGGCAGAAUGGCAGCUAACGCGGUAAGUUUCCCGCCUGGGAAGUAUGCUCGCAAGAGUGAAACUCAAAGGAAUUGACGGGAGCCCGCACAAGCGGUGGAGCAUGUGGUUUAAUUCGAUGCAACACGAAGAACCUUACCAGGGCUUGACAUGUCGUGAAAGAGAGAGAAAUCUUUUUGUGCCAAAAUUUAUUUUGGAAUAUGAACACAGGUGGUGCAUGGCUGUCGUCAGCUCGUGAUGCGAAUUGUUCUGUUAAGUCAGAUAACGAGCGCAACCCUCGUGCUUUGUUCGGGCUUACGCCCUGUCGAAGCAGACUGCUGGUGAGAAAUCAGAGGAAGGUGAGGAUGAUGUCAAGUCAGCAUGCCCCUUACGCCCUGGGCUACACACGUGCUACAAUGGCCAACACAAAGAGAUGCAAAGGGGCGACCCCAAGCCAACCUCAAAAAAUUGGUCUCAGUUCAGAUUGCAGGCUGCAACUCGCCUGCAUGAAGGUGGAAUCGCUAGUAAUCGCCGGUCAGCUAUACGGCGGUGAAUCCGUUCCCGGGCUU